CAUCCCUGGACUCCCAGCUCAGCCCACUCAGUGAUCAAGACUGAACACAGCUACUCACCAUGGAGAGUGUGCUCAGCUGUGUUUUCCUGGUGGCUGUUUUCAAAGGUGUCCAGUGUGAGGUGCAGCUGGUGGAGUCUGGGGGAGGCCUGGUGCAGCUUGGGGGUUCCCUGCGACUCUCCUGUGCAGCCUCUGGAUUCACCUUCAGUGACUACUACAUGCAUUGGGUCCACCAGGCUCCAGGGAAGGGGCUGGAGUGGAUCUCACCCAUUAGUACUAGUGGAAGUAAUACUUUGUAUGCUGACUCAUUGAAGGGCCAAUUGACCAUCUCCAGAGACAACUCCAAGAACACGCUGUACCUGCAAAUGAGCAGUCUGAGAGUCGAGGACACAGCCACCUAUUAUUGUGCUAGAGACACAGGUCGACUCAUCAUCUCCGGAGAAAAUGCCAAGAACAUGCUGUGCCGGCAAAUGAGCAGUCUGAGAUCUGAGGACAUGGCCACCUAUUUCUGUGCCACAGACAGUGUGGGGACCUUAGUGUGA